rnacentral:rRNA from 1 species
UACAGAGGUCUCAAGCGUUGUUCGGAUUCAUUGGGCGUAAAGGGUGCGUAGGCGGCGCCGUAAGUCGGAUGUGAAAUCUCGGAGCUUAACUCCGAAACUGCAUUCGAUACUGCCGUGCUUGAGGACUGGAGAGGAGACUGGAAUUUACGGUGUAGCGGUGAAAUGCGUAGAUAUCGUAAGGAAGACCAGUGGCGAAGGCGGGUCUCUGGACAGUUCCUGACGCUGAGGCACGAAGGUCAGGGGAGCAAACGGG